rnacentral:rRNA from 1 species
UUUGUUGCACCAGAAGUAGUUAGCCUAACCGCAAGGAGGGCGAUUACCACGGUGUGGCCAAUGACUGGGGUGAAGUCGUAACAAGGUAGCCGUAGGUGAACCUGCAGAAGGAUCA